UGCCCCAUGGCUUAGUUGGUUACGGCGUCCGACUGUUAGAACAUCAACGACGUUCGAGACAUCGGAAGAUCGAGAGUUCAAGUCUCUCUGGGGCAG